UACGGGGGGGGCAAGCGUUGUUCGGAAUUACUGGGCGUAAAGGGCUCGUAGGCGGCCAACUAAGUCCGACGUGAAAUCCCCAGGCUUAACCUGGGAACUGCGUCGGAUACUGGAUGGCUUGAAUCCGGGAGAGGGAUGCGGAAUUCCAGGUGUAGCGGUGAAAUGCGUAGAUAUCUGGAGGAAUACCGGUGGCGAAGGCGGCAUCCUGGACCGACAUUGACGCUGAGGAGCGAAAGCCAGGGGAGCAAACGGG
rnacentral:rRNA from 1 species